rnacentral:rRNA from 1 species
UACGAAGGGGGCGAGCGUUGUUCGGAUUUACUGGGCGUAAAGGGCGCGCAGGCGGCUCAUUUUGUCAGGCGUGAAAGCCCCGGGCUUAACCUGGGAACUGCGUUUGAUACGGAUGGGCUAGAGUUCGGGAGAGGAGAGUGGAAUUCCCAGUGUAGAGGUGAAAUUCGUAGAUAUUGGGAAGAACACCGGUGGCGAAGGCGGCUCUCUGGACCGAUACUGACACUGAGGAGCGAAAGCGUGGGGAGCGAACAAGG